CGAAUGCUGACAUAAGUAACGAUAAAGCGGGUGAAAAGCCCGCUCGCCGGAAGACCAAGGGUUCCUGUCCAACGUUAAUCGGGGCAGGGUGAGUCGACCCCUAAGGCGAGGCCGAAAGGCGUAGUCGAUGGGAAACAGGUUAAUAUUCCUGUACUUGGUGUUACUGCGAAGGGGGGACGGAGAAGGCUAUGUUGGCCGGGCGACGGUUGUCCCGGUUUAAGCGUGUAGGCUGGUUUUCCAGGCAAAUCCGGAAAAUCAAGGCUGAGGCGUGAUGACGAGGCACUACGGUGCUGAAGCAACAAAUGCCCUGCUUCCAGGAAAAGCCUCUAAGCAUCAGGUAACAUCAAAUCGUACCCCAAACCGACACAGGUGGUCAGGUAGAGAAUACCAAGGCGCUUGAGAGAACUCGGGUGAAGGAACUAGGCAAAAUGGUGCCGUAACUUCGGGAGAAGGCACGCUGAUAUGUAGGUGAAGUCCCUCGCGGAUGGAGCUGAAAUCAGUCGAAGAUACCAGCUGGCUGCAACUGUUUAUUAAAAACACAGCACUGUGCAAACACGAAAGUGGACGUAUACGGUGUGACGCCUGCCCGGUGCCGGAAGGUUAAUUGAUGGGGUUAGCGCAAGCGAAGCUCUUGAUCGAAGCCCCGGUAAACGGCGGCCGUAACUAUAACGGUCCUAAGGUAGCGAAAUUCCUUGUCGGGUAAGUUCCGACCUGCACGAAUGGCGUAAUGAUGGCCAGGCUGUCUCCACCCGAGACUCAGUGAAAUUGAACUCGCUGUGAAGAUGCAGUGUACCCGCGGCAAGACGGAAAGACCCCGUGAACCUUUACUAUAGCUUGACACUGAACAUUGAGCCUUGAUGUGUAGGAUAGGUGGGAGGCUUUGAAGUGUGGACGCCAGUCUGCAUGGAGCCGACCUUGAAAUACCACCCUUUAAUGUUUGAUGUUCUAACGUUGACCCGUAAUCCGGGUUGCGGACAGUGUCUGGUGGGUAGUUUGACUGGGGCGGUCUCCUCCUAAAGAGUAACGGAGGAGCACGAAGGUUGGCUAAUCCUGGUCGGACAUCAGGAGGUUAGUGCAAUGGCAUAAGCCAGCUUGACUGCGAGCGUGACGGCGCGAGCAGGUGCGAAAGCAGGUCAUAGUGAUCCGGUGGUUCUGAAUGGAAGGGCCAUCGCUCAACGGAUAAAAGGUACUCCGGGGAUAACAGGCUGAUACCGCCCAAGAGUUCAUAUCGACGGCGGUGUUUGGCACCUCGAUGUCGGCUCAUCACAUCCUGGGGCUGAAGUAGGUCCCAAGGGUAUGGCUGUUCGCCAUUUAAAGUGGUACGCGAGCUGGGUUUAGAACGUCGUGAGACAGUUCGGUCCCUAUCUGCCGUGGGCGCUGGAGAACUGAGGGGGGCUGCUCCUAGUACGAGAGGACCGGAGUGGACGCAUCACUGGUGUUCGGGUUGUCAUGCCAAUGGCACUGCCCGGUAGCUAAAUGCGGAAGAGAUAAGUGCUGAAAGCAUCUAAGCACGAAACUUGCCCCGAGAUGAGUUCUCCCUGACUCCUUGAGAGUCCUGAAGGAACGUUGAAGACGACGACGUUGAUAGGCCGGAUGUGUAAGCGCAGCGAUGCGUUGAGCUAACCGGUACUAAUGAACCGUGAGGCUUAACCUUACAACGCCGAAGCUGUU
rnacentral:rRNA from 1 species